rnacentral:rRNA from 1 species
AGUGAACGCUGGCGGUAGGCCUAACACAUGCAAGUCGAACGGCAGCACAGUAAGAGCUUGCUCUUACGGGUGGCGAGUGGCGGACGGGUGAGGAAUACAUCGGAAUCUACUUUUUCGUGGGGGAUAACGUAGGGAAACUUACGCUAAUACCGCAUACGACCUACGGGUGAAAGCAGGGGAUCUUCGGACCUUGCGCGAUUGAAUGAGCCGAUGUCGGAUUAGCUAGUUGGCGGGGUAAAGGCCCACCAAGGCGACGAUCCGUAGCUGGUCUGAGGGGAUGGCGAGCACACCGGAACUUGAGAAAGGGCCCAGAUCCCAAGGGAGGGAAGAGUGGGGAAAUAUUGGCCAAGGGGGGAAGCCCUGCGCCGGCCAUACCGGUGGGGGAAAGAGGGCUUCCGGGUUGUAAACCCCUUUUGUUGGAAAGAAAAGCAGCAGGUUAAUACCCCGCUGUUCUGACGGUACCCAAAGAAUAAGCACCGGCUAACUUCGUG